GCAACACUGGGUAUUGAAAUAAGGAUUUUAAUUGGAAUGCUAAGGAGAAUGGAAAUCCAGAAAAAAACUUUUUUUAAAUUAAAAAUUGAAGUUUUUUUAAUUUGUGCAGAAACAAUUAUUCAUAUUAAGGACAAGAAGACCCUAGUGAAUUUAUUAAAUUUUUAUUUAAUAUGUAAUUACUAUUAGAAAAAUUUUAGCUGGGGCGGCUAGAAAAUAUUAUAAACUUUUUAAAAAUAAAAUGAUCCAUUACUCAGUGAUUUUAUGUUAAAUACUCUAGGGAUAACAGCGUUAUAUUUUUUGAUAGAUCAUAUUGACAAAAAAGUUUGCGACCUCGAUGUUGGAUUAGGAUACUUUUUUAAUGAAGAUAUUAAAAAA
rnacentral:rRNA from 1 species